rnacentral:rRNA from 3 species
GAAGGUGUGUCGUGAGGCAUGCUGGAGGUAUCAGAAGUGCGAAUGCUGACAUAAGUAACGAUAAAGCGGGUGAAAAGCCCGCUCGCCGGAAGACCAAGGGUUCCUGUCCAACGUUAAUCGGGGCAGGGUGAGUCGACCCCUAAGGCGAGGCCGAAAGGCGUAGUCGAUGGGAAACGGGUUAAUAUUCCCGUACUUGGUGUUACUGCGAAGGGGGGACGGAGAAGGCUAUGUUGGCCGGGCGACGGUUGUCCCGGUUUAAGCGUGUAGGCUGGUUUUCCAGGCAAAUCCGGAAAAUCAAGGCUGAGGCGUGAUGACGAGGCACUACGGUGCUGAAGCAACAAAUGCCCUGCUUCCAGGAAAAGCCUCUAAGCAUCAGGUAACAUCAAAUCGUACCCCAAACCGACACAGGUGGUCAGGUAGAGAAUACCAAGGCGCUUGAGAGAACUCGGGUGAAGGAACUAGGCAAAAUGGUGCCGUAACUUCGGGAGAAGGCACGCUGACACGUAGGUGAAGUGAUUUACUCAUGGAGCUGAAGUCAGUCGAAGAUACCAGCUGGCUGCAACUGUUUAUUAAAAACACAGCACUGUGCAAACACGAAAGUGGACGUAUACGGUGUGACGCCUGCCCGGUGCCGGAAGGUUAAUUGAUGGGGUCAGCGCAAGCGAAGCUCCUGAUCGAAGCCCCGGUAAACGGCGGCCGUAACUAUAACGGUCCUAAGGUAGCGAAAUUCCUUGUCGGGUAAGUUCCGACCUGCACGAAUGGCGUAAUGAUGGCCAGGCUGUCUCCACCCGAGACUCAGUGAAAUUGAACUCGCUGUGAAGAUGCAGUGUACCCGCGGCAAGACGGAAAGACCCCGUGAACCUUUACUAUAGCUUGACACUGAACAUUGAGCCUUGAUGUGUAGGAUAGGUGGGAGGCUUUGAAGUGUGGACGCCAGUCUGCAUGGAGCCGACCUUGAAAUACCACCCUUUAAUGUUUGAUGUUCUAACGUGGACCCGUUACCCGGGUUGCGGACAGUGUCUGGUGGGUAGUUUGACUGGGGCGGUCUCCUCCUAAAGAGUAACGGAGGAGCACGAAGGUUGGCUAAUCCUGGUCGGACAUCAGGAGGUUAGUGCAAUGGCAUAAGCCAGCUUGACUGCGAGCGUGACGGCGCGAGCAGGUGCGAAAGCAGGUCAUAGUGAUCCGGUGGUUCUGAAUGGAAGGGCCAUCGCUCAACGGAUAAAAGGUACUCCGGGGAUAACAGGCUGAUACCGCCCAAGAGUUCAUAUCGACGGCGGUGUUUGGCACCUCGAUGUCGGCUCAUCACAUCCUGGGGCUGAAGUAGGUCCCAAGGGUAUGGCUGUUCGCCAUUUAAAGUGGUACGCGAGCUGGGUUUAGAACGUCGUGAGACAGUUCGGUCCCUAUCUGCCGUGGGCGCUGGAGAACUGAGGGGGGCUGCUCCUAGUACGAGAGGACCGGAGUGGACGCAUCACUGGUGUUCGGGUUGUCAUGCCAAUGGCACUGCCCGGUAGCUAAAUGCGGAAGAGAUAAGUGCUGAAAGCAUCUAAGCACGAAACUUGCCCCGA